UACGAAGGUGGCAAGCGUUGUUCGGAUUUACUGGGCGUACAGGGCGCGUAGGCGGUUGGAUAAGCCCUCCGUGAAAUCUCCAGGCUUAACCUGGAAAGUGCAGAGGGGACUGUUCAGCUAGAGGAUGGGAGAGGAGCGCGGAAUUCCCGGUGUAGCGGUGAAAUGCGUAGAGAUCGGGAGGAAGGCCGGUGGCGAAGGCGGCGCUCUGGAACAUUUCUGACGCUGAGGCUCGAAAGCGUGGGGAGCGAACAGG
rnacentral:rRNA from 1 species